AUGGACUCCUCACAACAGCCUCGAUGGUGGGUGCUGUUAUUAUUUUAUUCCGCACAUGAGGCAACUGAGACUCAGAGAAGUUGAGUGACUAGUCCAUGGUCACGCAGCUAGUCUUGGCCCCAGGAUGUGAUCUCAGGAAGCCUCGUUCCAGGACCUCACACUGUCCUCCUCCUGUGGAUCUGAGUAUAUAUUCACCAUACGCACUCAUUCAUGUAAUCGUUAAUCCGUUCAGCUUUACUGGAGAAGGGGGACGUCUCUAUGGGACCUGGCCCCAGAGUAUUUCUGCAGGUGGACACUGUCAUUACAUCACUGCAGACAGGAGGGACCCACCAGGAGAAGAAGCAAAGGCUGUCUGGGUGACCAAGAGUCUUCAUGAAAGCACCUUCUCCAUUCCUUCAUUCCAGAGAGCCUCCCCUGCACCCCGACUCCAUCUUCUUCCUCCCCGAGUUCAGCCUCCACACGACACACGCAGGGAGUUGACUGUUCUGCUUUUAUUCGAGCAUUCUAUACCCAACACACGGCUAACAAGGGCCUGCUCUGUGUUGGGAUUCAUGCCCGGGGCUUUGCACACGCUCUCCCCAUUUACCUGCAUAGCAGCCUGGGGCCCCCAGGGAGGACUUUUACACCCAUUUGACAGAUGAGAAGAGAGUGACGGUGACUCACAGCUGAACCAGAAUUCCAUCCAGGGAUAUUGACUGUAAAGACUCUGCUCUUGCAACUCAUAACCGUCUACUCAUUCAUUCAAAAAAAAGUUAUUUUUGACACGUGCCAGCUGUUGUGCAAGGCGCCGGAGGUAUAGAAAUAAACGAGAUGGACACGGCGCUUGUCUCUGUGUCCUCAGGUUCCAGUGGGAAGACUGACCCCUCCGUCACAAGGUAACGGGCACACAGGCUCACUGUAAGUCACAGCCAUUGUGAGGACAGAGAAACAUGAGUAGUGGCAGCGAUCUAAUACAGACUGCGGCCAGGGAAGCUGUCUCUGGGCAGGUGACAUUUCAGCUGUACCUGGCGGACUUCCCCGGCGGCACAGUGGAUGAGAAUCCGCCUGCCAAUGCAGGGGGCAUGGGUUCCACCCCUGGCCCGGGAAGGUCACACGUGCACCACACCUGUUGAGCCCGCAAGCCUAGAGCCUGUGCUGCAGCAAGAGAAGAAGCCACUGCCGUGAGAAGCCCACACACUGCGGUGAAGAGUAGCCCCUGCUCACUGCAACAGUGAAGGCCCCGCCCAGCCAAAGGGAAAUAAACUGUACCUGAAUAGCUGGAAGAGCAAGAGGAAAGGUAUUUAAGGAACUGCUGUGUCAGUUGCUCAGUCGUGUCCGACUCUUUGCGACCCCCGUGGUCUGUAGCCACCAGGCUCCUCUGUCUGUGGGAUUCUCCAGGCAAGAAUACUGGAGUGGGGUACCCUUCCCUUCUCCAGGGGAUCUUCCUGACCAGGGAUAGAACCCAGGUCUCCCCACUGCAGGCAGAUUCUUCACCAUCUGAGCCACCAAGGAAGUCAAGCUGUGCAGUGGCUAUAU
ensembl:lncRNA